rnacentral:rRNA from 1 species
GACGAACGCUGGCGGCGUGCUUAACACAUGCAAGUCGAACGGAAAGGCCCUGCUUUUGUGGGGUGCUCGAGUGGCGAACGGGUGAGUAACACGUGAUUAACCUGCCCUUGACUUUGGGAUAACUUCAGGAAACUGGGGCUAAUACCGGAUAGGAGCUCCUGCUGCAUGGUGGGGUUUGGAAAGUUUCGGCGGUUGGGGAUGGACUCGCGUCUUAUCAGCUUGUUGUUGGGGUAGUGGCUUACCAAGGCUUUGACGGGUAGCCGGCCUGAGAGGGUGUACGGCAGGAUUGGGACUAAGAUAAGGCCCAGACGCCUGAGGGAGGCAGCAGUAGGGAAAAUUGCAAAAUGGGCGAAAGCCAGAUGCAGGAACGACGAGUGAGGGAUGACGGACUUCGGGUUGUAAACCGCUUUCGCCUGUGACGAAGCGGGAGUGAAGGUAAUGGGUAAAGAAGCACGGGCUAAAUACGUG